GAAUAAGCUGGGAGAGAAAGCAUGCAUGCACACGGAUAUUAUGACAGCGGACCAGAACUAGGGUCCAAAGAGAUGCAUCAUGGGAGGAGAGAGAGCACAUCUGGGCACAGCAGUGCGGAAAGCCUUUCUGACUGAAAGAUUCUUGAGCUGGAGGUAGAGGGAUGGACUCCAGGCCUUGUAUUUCAGGAUCCCUGGGAUCCUCUUUGGAGGGAGAACGGUUCUUCUAGCCAUGGCUAUAGAACACCUGCUUUCCUGAAAACUCACCAGGCUGGGCUGGCGGCACCUGGCAGUGUGGAUAAGGGCAUGGUCUGCCCUCCGGCAUGUCAGAAGUCCACUCGGAAUGCCCCUCUCCAGGAGAGCAUGGUCCCAGAGGCUGGCGGGGGGGCAGAUACAACCACACUGGCUGUGAACUCGAGUAACAGGGGCCUGAGGCUUCAUGUAGCAGUCUCCUAUCCUGGCCUGGAGGCCUGAAGAUCAAUGGACUCACCUGGAUUGGUCUAGAAAAGGUUAGCCCUGUCUCCCCUGUCGCUGGCUCCUCUGCACCUCCUUCACUCUCUGUAGACUCACCUGGACUGGUUUAGAAAAGUGCCUGCUUCCUCCCACUAGGAUGUGAUCUUCUUAAGAGGGAAGGAUUGGGGCUGGAGAGAUGGCUCAGCGGUUAAGAGCACUAACUGCUUU